rnacentral:rRNA from 1 species
AGAGUUUGAUCCUGGCUCAGAAUCAACGCUGGCGGCGCGCCUAACACAUGCAAGUCGAACGAGAAAGGGGAGCAAUCCCUGAGUACAGUGGCGUACGGGUGAGUAACACGUGGGUAAUCUGCCUCUUAGUGGGGAAUAACCCUGGGAAACCGGGGAUAAUACCGCAUAAGCCCGAGAGGGGAAACGCGAAAGCGGCUGAGAGAGGAGCCCGCGGCCGAUUAGCUAGUUGGUAGGGUAAAAGCCUACCAAGGCAAAGAUCGGUAGCCGGCCUGAGAGGGCACACGGCCACACUGGCACUGAAACACGGGCCAGACUCCUACGGGAGGCAGCAGUGGGGAAUCUUGCACAAUGGGGGAAACCCUGAUGCAGCGACGCCGCGUGAGCGAUGAAGCCCUUCGGGGUGUAAAGCUCUUUCGGCAGGGAAGAUGAUGACGGUACCUGCAGAAGCAGCUGCGGCUAACUACGUGCCAGCAGCCGCGGUAAUACGUAGGCAGCAAGCGUUGUUCGGAGUUACUGGGCGUAAAGGGUGUGUAGGCGGUUUGGUAAGUCUGGUGUGAAAUCUCCCGGCUCAACUGGGAGGGUGCGCCGGAAACUGCCGGACUAGAGUGCGGGAGAGGAGAGUGGAAUUCCUGGUGUAGCGGUGAAAUGCGUAGAUAUCAGGAGGAACACCGGUGGUGUAGACGGCUCUCUGGACCGUAACUGACGCUGAAACACGAAAGCGUGGGUAGCAAACAGGAUUAGAUACCCUGGUAGUCCACGCCCUAAACGAUGCAUAUUUGGUGUGGGUCAUUCAGUUGAUCCGUGCCGGAGCUAACGCGUUAAAUAUGCCGCCUACGGAGUACAGUCGCAAGGCUGAAACUCAAAGGAUUGACGGGGGCCCGCACAAGCGGUGGAGCAUGUGGUUCAAUUCGACGCAACGCGAAGAACCUUACCU